CCUACGGGUGGCUGCAGUGAGGAAUAUUGGUCAAUGGGCGCAAGCCUGAACCAGCCAAGUCGCGUGAGGGAUGAAGUUCCUAUGGAUUGUACACCUCUUUUGUCGGGGAGCAAAGCCCGCCACGUGUGGCGGGACGGAGAGUCAACGAAGAAAAAGCAUCGGCUAACUCCGUGCCAGCCGCCGCGGUAAUACGGAGGAUGCGAGCGUUAACCGGAUGUAUAGGGUUUAAAGGGUGCGUAGGCGGAAUGCCAAGUCAGCGGGAAACUCGCGGGGCUAAACCUCGAUCCGCUGUUGAAACUGGCGUUCUUGAGUGGGCGAGAAGUAUGCGGAAUGCGUGGGGUAGCGGUGAAAUGCAUAGAUAUCACGCAGAACUCCGAUUGCGAAGGCAGCAUACCGGCGCCCAACUGACGCUGAAGCACGAAAGCGUGGGUAUCGAACAGGAUUAGAUACCCUAGUAGUC
rnacentral:rRNA from 1 species